GCUUCGUGGUCGAGUGGCAAAGACACUUGCCUAUCACCCUGGAGUCCGGGGUUUGAUCCCCAGUCGAGAAACU